AUACGGAGGGGGUUAGCGUUGUCCGGAAUUACUGGGCGUAAAGCGCACGUAGGCGGACUGGAAAGUUGGGGGUGAAAUCCCGGGGCUCAACCCCGGAACUGCCUCCAAAACUUCCAAUCUAGAGAUCGAGAGAGGUGAGUGGAAUUCCAAGUGUAGAGGUGAAAUUCGUAGAUAUUUGGAGGAACACCAGUGGCGAAGGCGGCUCACUGGCUCGAUACUGACGCUGAGGUGCGAAAGCGUGGGGAGCAAACAGGAUUAGAAACCCUAGUAGUCC
rnacentral:rRNA from 1 species